UGGAAUCUUCGUGAACCUGAGAGCCUGGCCUAACAUUUCCACAGUGAUGAUAAAAAUGCUGAUCAGAAGUUUAGUAUCACCAUUUCUCAGUUCAAAAGCCAUCUAAAUAUGCUAACAAACACACCCAACUGACUCCUGUAAAAGAAGCAAUAUAAUCACAGUGCCAUGAAGCUCUUGAUGCUGAACCUUGGAGGUGUAGUUAUCACUGCUGAGUUGUAAGCAAGAGAACUUGUUAGAGUUUCACCAUGCUGGAAGGCCAGAGAAAAGAGUUGGCCUCUAGAACUCUCUACCUCAAAGAGGUUCCUACAGCUUGCUGUUGGUACAAACUGAAGCAUUCAGCCCUUCAUGGAAUCAAUGGAGUCUAUAACUUUAAUGUAUAAAUAUGCUUAAAAAGAUUCUGGGACCUUCAUUGAUUGACACAAUAUGAUGAAUUGUCCUAAUCCUCUGUAUUCUGUGUACAGAGUGAAUCAUGUUACUUUCUAAAUUGUGUUACUUUCUAAUUCCAUCCUCUUCUUUAGAGAAGCCUGUGCAGAUCUCUGAGGAAGUAUCUAUUCAGAGCCUGUUGCUUCAACCUACCACUGAAAUGAACCACUAUGCUUUUAAGAGGAAUUUGGAAUAUAAUCCAAGUUUCACAAACCUAGAAAAACAUCCAUAUGGGAUUAUAACAAAUUAAUUUGUUGGACAGCUCAUGUUCACUAGUAUAUGUUUUUGCUCAAAAAAUUGUUAUGUAAUAUAGGUAGGAAAGCGUGUAUUUUGUUCAUGAUUAUGUUAAUAAAAAACGUGCUUGAA